GCGGAUGUGGUGGAAUGGUAGACACGCUACUUUGAGGGGGUAGUGGGCGUUUUUGCCUGUGUGGGUUCGAGUCUCACCAUCCGCA
rnacentral:tRNA from 1 species